UACAGAGGUCCCAAGCGUUGUUCGGAUUCAUUGGGCGUAAAGGGUGCGUAGGCGGCGCGGUAAGUCGGGUGUGAAAUCUCGGAGCUUAACUCCGAAACUGCAUUCGAUACUGCCGUGCUUGAGGACUGGAGAGGAGACUGGAAUUUACGGUGUAGCAGUGAAAUGCGUAGAUAUCGUAAGGAAGACCAGUGGCGAAGGCGAGUCUCUGGACAGCAACUGACGCUGCGGCACGAAGGCCAGGGGAGCAAACGGG
rnacentral:rRNA from 1 species